rnacentral:piRNA from 1 species
UACAAUUUGUUUAUUUCAGUU